AUGGACUUCAGGGAAAUCCUGCUGAUUGCUUCCAAGGGACAAGGUGUCAACAACCUGCCAAAAAGUUAUAGUUUGGCAGUGGGGCCUCCCAAGAAAGACCCAAAUGUUAAAGGUGUCCAGUCAGCAGCUGUACAAGCUUUUCUUCGAAGGAAGGAAGAGGAGCUGAGACAAAAAGCCUUAGAAGAGAAGAGGAGGAAAGAGGAGCUAGUGAAAAAGCGAAUUGAGCUCAAACAUGACAAGAAAGCAAGAGCCAUGGCCAAGAGGACAAAAGACAAUUUCUGUGGUUAUAACGGGGUUCCUGUUCAGAAGCAGUCAAAUAAGAGGCAGGCCAUGAAAAGCCAUACCAGCCAGGGAACAGACUAAGAGUACCAGGUGGAAGAGGAGUUCUUUGAGUCCAACCAAGCAGAAUCAGAGCAGGAGGACAAGGAAGAGCAAGAACCUCUCCAAGUUGAAAGCAAUCCAAAUGUCCCCCUCAGAAGUGCCCCACUCCCCAUGAACUUCACUGAUUUACUGAGGCUAGCUGAGAAGAAGCAGUUUGAACCAGUGGAGAUGAAAAUCCUGAAAAAAAAAGAAGAGCGACCUAUGACUGCAGAGGAACUUCGGGAACGAGAAUUUCUUGAACGAAAACAGGAAAAAGAAACCUGAAACAGAUGUAAAACUACCUCCAUUUGUGUCCCAAAGGGCACCAUCUCAUAAAGAAGGCAUGGGCACAAAACCUAGUAGAAGUUCUGGGGACAAGCAUCUUUCUUCCAAGAGAAUGCCCUUUCCUGAGGGUGAGAAGAAAUUCAGACCCAGCACAGCCAGUGAGAAACACUUAGCUUUGUCUUCAUUCAGAUCUGUGCCGGGAGAGAGGACCAACGUAGGAUCUGUCAAUAGCUCCCAACCCUCAUUUCUGGAGGGUCACCACAGACCUGUUCUCAAUGUGGUUGGAAAGUCUCACCCCAACACUAAUUCGCCAAGUGUCCCAAAGACUUUUGCAACUGGGACUCAGAAAUCUACUUCUGAACACAAAGCCAAAAAGUCUCUUCCCUCUCAUCCUAGCCAUUCUGAGUCCAGUGUCAAGCAACUAGGCAGCAACUCCAGCUCAGUUCCAGGGCUGGCUCAGACCACACUUUGUUCUGGCCCUGUUUCCAGAUGCCAGAAUGGCACCUCAAGUUCAGAAUCUGUGCGAUCUGUCAGUGGGGUCAGAAAGCAAGCCAGUAUCUCACGUCCCUCUGGACGGACAGGCAGGGGCACAAAUGGCCCUGGACAGCCUGAAAGUAAUUCAAGUGGCCCUGGGCAACACACCAGUGGCCCAAGUGGUUCUGGGAGACAUAUAGGCAGCUGUAGAGGCCCUGGGAAACCUAUAAGCAAUUCACGUGACCUUCAGCGACCAAUGAGUCUCUCAGGUCUUCCUGCAAGUCCAAUCGGUGGCUCUGGGAGAUCCAUAAGUGGUUCAAUUCCAGCUGGACGAACUGUCAGUUCAGGCCCUGGCAGACCAAUGAAUAGCUUAGGCCCUGGGCAGAUGGUUAGUAUCCCCGGCACCCCCAUAAAGCCCAAGUGCACUGUUGUCUCAGAAACAAUUUCCUCCAAGAAUAUUGUUAGCCAACCAAGCAAUGGACAUGGACAGAUGAAUGGAAUGAAGCCUCCCCUGUCUGGCUGCAGAUAUACCCAAGGUCCUCAAAGGCUUCCCUUCCAUACUGGUUGCAGAAGGCCACGAGAGUUGGAAGAAGAAGAGGAUGAUGAGUAUGACUCUGAAAUGGAUGAUUUUAUUGACUAUGAAGGGGAACCUCAGGAAGAAGUAUCCAAGCACAUUCGGGAAAUCUUUGGCUAUGACCGAAAAAAAUAUAAAGAUGAAAGUGAUUAUGCCUUACGUUACAUGGAGACUAGUUGGAAGGAACAGCAGAAGGAAGAGGCAAAGAGUUUGAGACUAGGUAUGAAAGAGGACUUGGAGGAAAUGAGGAGUGAGGAGGAAGAAAUUAAACGUCAAAAAGCCAAGAAGCUGAAGAGACAUUAG